GUCGCUUUUCUCUGAUUGCAGCGAGAGCAGGUGGUGCUUUCUUGCACUGUGAGAAGCACAGUCUGUUUCUUUGAUUUCAGAUGGGCUCCACAACUCGGGAGGGCGCUCAUCUCUCAGUCCUCUCUCUGCUGAGCAGUUACUGGGCCUAUCUUUCUCUCGAUGGAUAACAACCCUUGCGUUGCGGUUGCUAGAAGGCGGGACAUCUCUGCCUGGAAUAGGGCACCGUGGGAUGAAGGCUAUUAGGAGGAGAGUGGUCCUUGAGAAAGACCUAUCAUGAGAAGAAAGUACCCUGGUCUCAUCCAUCAAUUAUUCAUGAAAGCACGAGGUGUGUUUAUCUUAGUACCAGCAGACAACAAGAACUAAACUUGAGGAGGCUUCUGAAGAGUCACUGGAGUUGGGUGCCUGAAAAUCUGCACUUGAUUAUUAAGGAACAUCCAGCCAGGCAUGGUGGAUUUUCGUCCCUUUAAUCCCAAUGCUCAGGAGGCAGAGGCAGGCAGAUCUCUAUGAGUUCCAGCCAGCCUGGUCUGCGUACACCUUUCUAGGCCAGGCAGGGCUACAUGGUAAGCCCUUGUCUCAAAACAAAAACAACGACAAAGGAGAGACAAGAGAGAGGAACAUCCAGUCACUGGGAAUCCUAGCACUUAGGAGCAAGAGAACUGAGUUUGUGACUGUGUAACAAGAAAUGUGCUUUGCGCCUUAACCCAUCACGUUCUGCUGGCUCUCGUUUGUCUGUUCUGAGCCAAUAUUCACAUUUCCUGGAAGUUGAAACAUGUACCUUAUAGACUGACACAGUGGUGACUCCUGACUCAGAGUUACUGAAGGAUGGGAAGAGAUCUUUGUUCUUCUAAACUCUAUGACUCUGGGUGUUUGUUUGUAUGUCUGUGAAUCAAUCGCGUGCACGCUUGGUGCUGAGGAAGGAAGGAAGGCCAGAAGACACGAAAUCCCCUGGAACUGGAGUUGCAGAUGGUUGUGAGUUGCCAUGUGGCUGCUGAGACUCAAACCUGAAUCCUCUGUAAGACCAGCCAUUUCUUAACUACCGGUUCAUCUGUCCAGCCCUUAAGAUUUAUUUAUUUGUUUGUUUCUUGAGACAGGGUUUCUCUGAGUAGCAGCUCUGGUUGGCCUGGAACUUACUUUAUAGACCAGGCUGGCCUUGAACUCAGAGAUCCGAGUGCUUCUGCCUCCCAAGUGUUGGGAUGAAAGCCAGAAGAUGUGUCAAAUCUCCUGGAGCUGGAGUUAAAGGUAGUUGUGAGCCACUUGGCAUGGGUGCUAGGAACUAACCUUUAGUUACCCAGUCAUCUCUCCAGCUCCUGUCUCUAAGCAACAAUUAGAACGUGCACACAGCAAAAUGGUUCCAGCUGCCUUUGGGAAACAGCUCAAAGGCUGAAAUACUGAUAAGUCGGAGUCAUUAAAUGGUUUAUGGGAAGAAUAAAGCAGAGUUAGCUCAAGUUUCUCAGGAGUUCAAGUUCUCAUUCCCACUCCUCCACCCUCUUCCCUUUUUCCUUCCUUUCUUUCUGACAAGGUCUCAUGUAUACCACACUAGCCCCAAGUUUGCUAUGCAGUCAAGCCUUUGAACUUAUGACUCUCCUGCCUCUUGUUGAGUGCUGGGAUCUCAGACCCGUGCUCCCAUUCCUAGGGUGUGUAUUGCUGGGCAUUGACCCUAGGGCUUCAGGACAAUCACUUUACCAUACAGAACCCUCAAGUCUGUCUCUCUGUUAAGAUAUCAUUAUGUUGAUUGUUAAUAUUAUUUUAUUAAUAAUACACUGGUAAAAUACUGGAGUAUUUAAAAUAUGUGGACAGGAAACCCAUGCACGCAUUAAGCAAACAUCUACUGAUUGAUUGUCUACACAAUCUCCAUGUUUGGGACUUGUCAGACAAUCAUGUAGGCAUAAUCCCUGGCUUUAUGGAAAACAUGUUCUAACAGAAAAGACAGGAAACAAAGAGUUACCAGAGAGCUCGGUCCUGGGUAGACAACAGGUGACGGGGCCUUGUAUGGAAGCCCUGACUGUUCUGGUAGCCGGGACAGUAGUGGGCGGCUCCACAUGGUACAGGCACUGAGAGGUGGGUGGGGGAUUUUUGAAAGUAUCAGUGUUCUUAGCCUGAGGAGCCAGGUCAAAGGAGUGAAGAUAGAAAAGGAAGUAUCAAGAUCUGAGGAAGGACCUGAAGAUGGGAAAAAUUAAUUUAGAUAAAAAAAGUAUACAAGACUUGCAAACGUCUAAGAGAUUAAAUAGACUUCAUUUUGCCAUAUUUUGGUCAGAUUUUUUUUUCAAAAAUACUUUCAGAAAUAGACAAAGGAACUCUUAUUGAUCAUUUAAAUUUUUUUUUAAGAUUUAUUUUAUUUGUAUGAGUACACUGUAGACACACCAGAAAACGGUAUCAGAUCCCAUUUGUGAGCUACCAUGUGGUGGCUGGGAAUUGAACUUAGGACAUUUGGGAGAGCAGUCAGUGCUCUUAACCAGUGAGCCAUCUCUCCAACCCAAAUCAUUUACUUUUCUAACUUUAUGAAGACUGAUAAACAGCCUGCCGUGAUGGCACAUGCCUUUAAUUCCAGCACUCAGGAGGCAGAGGCAGGCGGAUUUCUGAGUCUGAGGCCAGCCUGGUCUACAAAGUGAGUUCCAGGACAGCCAGGGCUAGACUGAGAAACCCUGUCUCGAAAAACAAACAAACAAAAAAACAAAAACAAAAGACUGAUACUGAUGUGUCUAAUUGUUGCCCCUUCCCUUCCCCUCCCCUGUUCUUCCUCCCUUCCCUCCCUCCUCUUGCUUCUUGAGUUCUAGACACAAUGUUACACAAUGUUGCCAUGUUCGCAGGCCCCGCAGCCCAUGAACUUGCGAUCUUCUUGCCUCUGCCUUUUGAGUGUUAGAAACACAGGCUGGAGCCGCCACCUCUGGCUGCUGUCCUACGGGCUUGUUGAUGUAGGGGGGAGUGUUGAUACAGUUUGGUUUGAAGCUGCUUGCUUCUCUGAGGAACUCAAUUUACAAACUUGCUUCGUACCUCUGCAUAGUACUUCGCUGUUUUUUUUUUUUUUUUUAAUCGAGGUAAAUAAAUUAUAUGCUAAUUAUACCAUUUUAGGAGUCUGUAAGCGGGUGAGAACAUUGCACUUGGUGGUGGUGUGUAACCACCACUACUAACUAUAUUGAGAACGCUUUCAUUGUUCUUCAGAUAAACUCUGUCCCUGUUAGAAAAUAAUUACCCCCCCCCCCCCCACUAAACCCUGGGACCUUCUAUUCUACCUGUCUCCUCUGUCUCCUGUCUCCUCUGUCUCCGCAGUUGUUUUAAAAGGUGCUCCAUUUUAACGAUUUAUGUGACAUUUGUCCUCCUGUCUUUGUGAAUUUACUUACUACUAUUUUCAAGGUGCAUCUAUUUUGUUAUGUAUAUAACAUUUUCCUUUCUUCUGACUGAAUAACAUUAACGACAGGCUUUUGGUAGCAUAAAAACAUAACUGCAAUGGUCAGAGUGCGGGAACAAGACGGCGAAGGGCUGUGAGCAAAAGGCUAUGUCUCCGCCUUCCCUUUUCCAUGUUUGCCAUCCUCCCUAACACAAAGUUGUUUCCCCUAAAUUCUUUUCGAGGGAGUUUACGGACAUCGUGUGCAAGCUGUACUGAAUGUCAUCUGCCAGGGCAGGAACUUGUUCACUGUCAAAAUAUCAGGCCCCUGGAAGGUGGCCAGGCUCCCCGCUCCGAGUCGGAGCUGGUUGCCAGUGGUCUCUGCUGGCAGGCGGCGGGCAGGUGCAGACCAAAGGGGCAACUGGAUCGCUGGAGCAGCUGCGGCUUGCUGACCGGAAAUCGGGCCAGCCGAGCAGGGGGUUGGGAGGAAACCUUUUGGUAAUGGGUUCUGUAAUUUCCCUCCUAGGGUGGAAACAGCCUUGAAAAUGGCAGAGUCACAAAGGGAAAAGUGCACCUGGGCAAUUAGACCUUGGGCAGCUUUAUGUCUCAGGCUUCACAGGAUGGCUUCUGAAGUCUGAAAGACCCUGAUUCUGGACUAGCACAAUUUAAAGCCAGACGACAUGUCUUAGAAGAGAUACAGCAUCACCGCCCGGACUUCAUCCUUCUUCAGAAGAAUCAAUACAUAGACACGUUUUUCUCAAUAAUGCUUGUAACACAAGUUAUUUAUUUAUUUAUUCAUUCAUUCAUUCAUUCAUUCAUUAAUUUAUUUAUUUAUUUAUUGGCCAGGAGGAUUCUAAUUACAAUUCCCUUUCAUUCUUUAAAUUUUUAAUUUAGAUUUCAGGCUGUUUUGUGGAAGUCAGUGUGUGCCACUGUCCAGUUUACAGACACCUCUGUUGGUUUUCGCAGCUCUUGGCAUCGUGUUCACCGCUAAGUCAGGAAGCUAAAGCUGGGCAGAGCGGUGUAAACAGCAAAACUCCCACUCAGGCCUAGCGUUGCAAACGCCAGCGAGCAUAUUCUUACUCACUCUAGCCUCAGAUUAUUAGAAGGGAGCAAGACAGACAGGCGGCUGGAAGCCACCCUGUUAAACACAGGUCCGGAGAAACUGCCUGCGGCCAGGGCUGGUGAAACAUCUUCAAAGCCAGAAGACCCCCAUGCAUUUCUGAAAGGUUGCCUGUCGUUUCCUAUAAACAACCGUAUGCUCAAUGGCUUCAUAAAGGAAAGCCUUAUUAAAAAUAAACGAUUUGAAGAAGGGCGAUCUGGGAGGCGAUAUAAUCACAACUUUUCUAGACGGCUUGACUGGUCAAUGUGUUGGUUAAUUUUGCAACCACAUUCAACUGAAAGUUCAUGUCUGGGCUUCCUACCAGCAUCUCUUCCGUGAGGCUGCCUGAGAGCAGCGAGGUACUGCAUCCUAACAGCAAGACCUGUGUUAGCAGCAUGGUGUUAUUGGCUUGAAAAAUCCCUAGAGUUUCUGUAACCGGCAAGAAAUAAACAAAAAUAAAAUGUUGAGGCC